GGGACUUUUUGGUAAAUCUGGUUGCAGUGCCUGCUGACAUCAGGCUCAGACUUCAAGUAUCUGGGAAAUAAAUCAGUUCAUCUGAUGGUCUCCUG